GAUGAAGAACGUAGCGAAAUGCGAUAAGUAAUGUGAAUUGCAGAAUUCAGUGAAUCAUCGAAUCUUUGAACGCACAUUGCGCCCCCCAGUAUUCUGGCGGGCAUGCCUGUUCGAGCGUCAUUUCAACCAUCAAGCCCUGCUUGUGUUGGGGUCCUGCGGCUGCCCGCAGGCCCUGAAAACCAGUGGCGGGCUCGCUAGUCACACCGAGCGCAGUAGCACAUCUCGCUCAGGGCGUGCGGCGGGCUCCAGCCGUUAAAAGCCUUAUUUACCCAAGGUUGACCUCGGAUCAGGUAGGAAGACCCGCUGAACUUAAGCAUAUCAAUAAGCGGAGGA
rnacentral:misc_RNA from 1 species